rnacentral:misc_RNA from 1 species
UCUCCGUAGGUGAACCUGCGGAGGGAUCAUUACUGAGUGAGGGCUCACGCCCGACCUCCAACCCUUUGUGAACACAUCUUGUUGCUUCGGGGGCGACCCUGCCGGCACUACGUCGCCGGGCGCCCCCGAAGGUCUCCAAACACUGCAUCUUUGCGUCGGAGUUUAAACAAAUUAAACAAAACUUUCAACAGCGGGUGUCUUGGUGCUGGCAUCGAUGAAGACCGCAGC